UUUUUUAAAGAGAAGUAUUAUUUACAAUAAUAAAAAAAAGGCUACAUCUCAUAGACCUUCACUCAUGGGAGAAUUGCAAAUUAAAAUGAAUUAACACAGGACGGCAAACAGUGAAGAUCAAGAGAAAAGAAACAUCUUCACCAAGACUUCAAGGAAAAAAAUAAAUGGGAACAAAUAAUUUAUUAUGAGAUAGUAACGUUGAGUGAAACUUAAAAUGUGAUUUCUCGAUGAGCAGCAAUCACAUUUUCAGGUAAUGCCCUAACCAAACAUGAAAACAUAAGUAAGUAGAUAAAUAACUCCAUACCAAGAGUUAUUUAUCUUUUACUGCAGUCUUUCUGGUAAGAACAAAAAGUGGACAAUAAUCCAUAUGUUGAUAGCAGCGAUACAGCCAAAUUAAUAUUGGAGUAUUCAUAUGAUGAAUAAUACUGAAAAACAUUCACUUUACAAAAUAUUAUGUACAGGGGAUCAUUUACAUAAAAUUUGCAUACAUAAAACAAUGUUAUUUAUUAGUACAUUUUGAUAAACAUAAAAAUAAGAACUAGUUACAAAAUUCAUAAUAGCAGUUAACUCCAAGGAGAGAAGAAUGAAGAGAAAUGUGACCAGGAAAAAGUUAUUAGAAAACUCCAAAUUUAUUGGUAGUCAUGUAUUUCUAAAAGAUUAAAUAAAAUGACAUAACAAUAAUGUUUGUUAAUCCUGAGUUGUAGGUACAUGCGUAUUUUGUUCUUUUUGGUAUUUAAAAUAUUUUAGCAAAACAAAAAAAAAUAAAUUAUAAGUUUAUAAAUAUUUUGAAAAAAAAAAACCCACAAAAACUGGAAAGGUGAGAGGCUCUAUCAUAGAAAGCUGAGUAUUGCAGGCUUCAAUGAGGGAAUCACAGGCCCUGCCCCUUUUGCCUCCUUCUGAGGAUCUACAAUUGAGCCCCACAAAAAAAUUUCCAGGAUUCGUUUCCCUUGGAUGAUGUCACUUCAUUCUUCACUUCUGUUUACAGGUUAUUCUCUCUAGAACAUCUUCCCCAUUUUGUAAGAGUGAGUUACACUUCCCUCCUUUGUAAUUAAAAAGUUCUGUCACUCUUGUAUAAUUUCCUGUUUACUUGUGUCUCCCCUCUGUGACUACUACCUCUUGGGGGGAGGGGCUUGCAGAACUCAUUCUUGUAAGUCCCCCUGGCAAAGUUCCUAGCCCCAAGUUUCUGUAUCUUGCAUUUUUGCUGAGUAGAUUCCUGGCUCAAACAAGGUACUGCGGGAAGAAUCUUUGCUGGUAGAGGGCCUGAGGGUGCUAUCCAGAAACAGUCAAAACAAUCCCUUGAAAACCUUUUGCUGGAGUAGAACUUGUAUUUCAGAUUCAUUAUCAUCUGAAACUGAUUUUCAUGAACAACCACUACCAAAAAAAAGUAGAAUUCAUUUUUUUUAAAACUGCCAAUCUACCAGCUGGCCUUUCCUCCUGUUUUAUCUACACACACAAGAAAGGAAAAUUGACUUAGCAAUUGCUCAAAGUUGGAUUUUUCUUUUACAGCCGCAAUUCAAAAUACCCUUUUCAACAAUUUUUCCAUAUUAAAAAAAGACAAAGUAUUAGCCUUUUAGGAAAAUAGCCUAUGAGCAUUUUCUGGUUGUCUAGUUUUGGAAAACACAGGAACCACAUCAAACCUACCUACAGUAGUACUGAGGAAAGGAUGUGGGAUGAUGCGGGUUGCACAGAGUAAAAACCACACCCCUGUUAAACUCGACCUUAAUCCAUAUUUAGUUUUAAAAUCAUAACCUAACAUUGGUGCCCUUGACCUGAGAGCAACCAGUUAGCACAGUCCAAAAGGCAUAAGCCUGAUGAUUUUUGAAGAACACUGUUUCUGGGUUCAUUCAGAUGGGUCGAAGUCCCAGAGGUAGGUUGUGUUAUUGUUCCUGAACGUUCACAGCCCUUCCCACUGGGUUUGUCCUCGCCACGUGGUUUGCAGAGCCCCCUGACAGCGGAGGCGUGUAUUGCUUUACCCUGCCCCGCUGACAGUAGCGUGGCCACAUGACUUCCUUUGGCCAAUGAAAUGCGAAAGAAUGUGAACCUGCCCAAUUCCUGGUGGAAAGCUUAGAUAGCUUUGCGGUUUUCCAUCAGUGACCAGAUUCCCCAUAGUCUUUUCCAAAAGAAUGGAUAUUCCAGAGAUCAGUUCUGCUUUAAGCCUUAAUCCCAGAAGAAGAUUCAUGGAGCCAACUUGCAGAUGAUAAUGAACUUUAAAAUAAUAAUAAAUUUUAAAUAUGUCACACAGUAGGCGCCAGAGUGCUGCUCCAUCACUUCUCUAUGGCCGCCAGCAGGUGCUCCUUAUAGCAGGUGCACAAGGAGCUUUGCCCUAGGGGGGGGUCUUUCUUUCCGCAAGGCCAAGUGUGAUGAAUAUUCUGCUUCUACCACACAAGCUGACAAGCAGUCUCUGCCCUGCUUCUCAAAAGAGCUAGAAUUUUUUGAAUUCAGGACAAGCUCCAGUGUCCCACCUAAUUUCCAAAGGGAAACUUCCCAAAUUUCUCACUGAUGUCUCCUGAGCUUGCUAACUAUCUUUUCUGUAUCACAGUUGGAAGUACUAGAAUUUCCCAAAUUAAAGUUAUUUUUUCCUAUUGAUUUUGCUAUUAGUGACAACAGCAGCUUCUAGGAGAAGAUAAAAGACUUUUGGUCAAAUAUUCCUUGACUCUGGGUGUAGCCCAGAACAUGCCUGUGCCCAUCCUGUUUUAACAGGACCAAGAUGAGAUUUUUACAGUUACAGGGGAUUUUUUAUUUUAUUUAUUUAUUUAAUCUAGAGUUUCACAGACCGUGGUGCUGGGCAGGAAUGUUGUUCUAGAGGAAACAGAAAUCACACCAGAAAGAUUUGCAAAGAACCAGGAGCAAGAGUUAUGGUGAAGGAGGAUUUUCUUCUGCCUGAAGAUGGCAAAUGCCAUGAGCUGAGUAGAUUUCCUCCACCAUAUUCUUCUUCUACACUGUUAUGCCUCACCUUGGACCCAGAGCAACAGAGUUGGUCAUCCAUGGACUGAACCUAUGAAACUGUAAGCCUCAAAUAAAAUUGUCCUCCUCUGA